GAUGCACGAGGCACUGUAAAUGUGCACGCGAUAAGUAUUUAAAUUUCUUUUUUAACUUUCAUAAUUAGAUUAAGAUUUCCCCUCUAUUUAUUAAAGGGAAGGAAUUACCUUUACCAAAAGUGCAGUUUGAGAAGUUAGAGUGGGCAGUAGAAAAUACAUAACUACAUCUACAAAUAAAAGAGUUCUACUUUGGUGCUCCACAGACUAUUAUAUGUUUAUUUUGUCUACUGUUAAAAUAUGGUUUUAACUUAGUAAGCUUAAAUUUACUAUGUUGAUCAUUAGCUAAUAGUUUGAAAAGAAAUUUUUUGCAAACAAGACAACCAAUUUUUAUGCGAGUGGCUAAUGAGUGGCCUAGAGGUCAUAUUUAUAUUAAAAUAUUUUUUAAAAAAUUUUUUCUUGAAGAAGUAUUUGCGCCGAUUGUUUAAAGUUAUGCUUUUUAAGAUUUUUGACUAAAUUUAGAGCGAUUUCCAAGCAUUGGUGCAAAUAGAUUCUGAUGUCAAAUCCAGUUAAUUUGUUCAACAAUGUUUUCUUUAUGUAUUCCUGUACCAAAAAAAACACUGUGUUUAUUAAUUUAAGAAAUAUGUUGUGUCGAUCUUGCACUGA